AAAGGAAUUGUAAAAGAAUAAUGUAGAGAAUAUCGCUCUUCUCCGUUUUUAGCAUAAUAUUAAAGAUAAGUGAAGUAAAAAAUAAUUUAAUAUUUUGACCUUGAUAGAAAAGAGAAAAAAAAGAAAGUAUGUAAUAUGGCGGAUAAAGCGCAAAUUAAAACAAGACAAUUUUAACUAUUUUUUUAAAUACACUUUCGUAUAAAAUUGCCUUGUAUACGGAGAAGAGCGAGAUUCCUUAUAUUGUCUUUUAUUAUUUUGUUAAAUUUCAUCACGUUAUUUUUACUCAUUUAAGAGAAAGUUGAAAUCUACGAAAACAUAUAAAACCUAUAGAGCUGCCUAUAGGAUAUAUAUUUCACGUGUUCCUUAAUAAAGAAUCAAAAUAUUUUGGGAUCUUGUUUGCAGAUUACAAUCUAUCUAAUCAUCAGCAUUAUUAUGCUGUUGGAUCCAGCCAAUCACGUCGCAUACUUCGAUUCAUAAUUAGAGUUGACAAAAAAAUAAACUGUCAGUCAAUCUGUCAAUAUAUAUAGUUCAGUUACAGAGAAAGAAAUAACAAUAAAUAUGUCAAUAAUAAAAACGAAAAAAUUCUUAUACAGUUGGAUAAUACCAAAUAUAAUAUGUGAAUAUUCAUAUCUACAAAUUUUCUUCAGAUGAGGACUGUCAUUAAUGUCAUGAUCUAAUACAACAAACGCUUGAUUAUUGUCACUGUAACGUCUUGAAUCCUUAGCAAAACUUGGAGAAUAUGGCCUUUGACAAUCAUCAAUAUCAUCAAUAUCGUGCGUCGUUGUGACAUUUAUCUUCUCG